AGCUGAGUUCACUCCAUCUGAAUAGACCCUUACUUUCCCGUUUUUCCUCACCAUCACUCAUUUAGCUCUUUCUCUCUUCCUACUCUUUUUCUCUUUCCUCGUCUAUUUUGAGAAGUGUCCCAUUUCCUUUGUUUUGCUGUUCUACUUCAUCUCUGAGUUUCCUCCGAACAUUUACUUCUAUGGUUUUAUGAAAGAAAUUAUAAUUCAAAAUUUGGGUUUUAUUGUUUUUUUCGGGGAGAAGGGUUUGAUCUUUUGCUUAUUUUGUUGUGAAUUUCCUCUCUUAUGUGAUUUUUGAUGUAAUUAGGAUGGAAUUUCCUUUGUUUCGUUGUGAAAUUAAUCUUGGUGUUGAUAUAAUACUUUUUUUAUUGUCUACGAGGUGAAGAAGGCAGAGAAUUAAUUCUCCAUUAGCUUGAAGCUUUUAUCGAUCAUUAUAUUGAAACAGCUUCUGAGGUAUGCUGAUACUUUUUUUUUUUAAACCAUCGAAUAUCAAUUACUGGUGGUGUGAUUCUUAUAAAUGUGGAUGUAUUAGGGUUUUCCAAGGGGCUUAAUACUCUAGACUAGCUAUUAUUACUGAGAUUUUGUAGUGAGGGUAGAAACUUAUUGAAACAUAUAACUUCAUAAUAAGAACCGGAUUUUUUUGUUUUCAAAUUGCAAUUGACCUUGUAAGUUGUUCCUAAUAAUAACUACAGAAAGUGAGGAAUUGUUUGGACAUAUGGAUUUGUUUAACACUGGUAUAAAGUUGCGGCAAUUACUUCUACCUUUUUGCCGCUGAACUUUGUGUUGCUUAGAGAAGGGAAUGAUUGAGUGAGGGCUCAUCACAUUACUACUUGCUAUGGAGUUGUUUGUUACUAUUGAGCUGAGGCAGAUGAAAGAGAUAUUAUCAACAUGAGGUUCAAAUUUUGGCUUGUAUUUGAAAAAAAAUUCCAAAAGCCUUGUUCCUAUGUAGAUUCUAUAGAAUCUUCCUCUAAUUAUGCAGGUGAUUUUACUUAAGACUGGUAGUAUUGCUGUGAAUCAACAACCAAAACCCCAUUCCAUGCCUGAUUCUAUAUCCAAAAAUCUGUAAUUAUAUGAAAGGUUUGAUUGAUUUGGAAUUCAGCAGUCGGUGAGUGUUUUACGAUUGUGGUUCUUGAUUGUGUUUAACUGGUAAGUCUGAUUUAUAUUAUAUAUAUGUUUUAAUUUCCCUCUUUUUUUUUUUUUUUUUUUUUUUUUGGACUGCUAAGGUUUAGUCCUAUGGUUUUGGGUUUGGUUUAUAGCUCUAGCAGUUUGGGAUUGAUUAGGUUUGGAGUCAAAGCUGUCGAUGUCUCUUUACAGUUGGAUUGAUUAUCAAAAUUAUGUAAGGCUUCACUAUUAGAUUAGUGGAAUUCAUUGUUUGGUGCUUGUAGGAUAGUUCUAUUGAUUUUCACUUGUGUGUCCAACUUAUUUAUUAAGAAAUUAUAACUAGUACAAUACUAUUAGCUGCUUUGGAUUACAGGUGUGAGAAAGUAAUAGGUUGUGGACAAGUACAUUAAUUAAGAUAUAGAUAGUGUCUCAUAUUCGUAUUAUGGAGUUUGCUUUUGCUAGCACUCAUUCUCUUUUUCAUUUUAGGUUUGGUUUUUGUUUUAUUUUACUUUUUUUUCCUUUUGGGUUUGAAUCAGGAGGCCAAGUGUUUUAAUAGAGGUGGUAGUAUAAUCGCUUUUUGGUUUGUCUCGAUUGUUUGCUUUUGGGAUUGGUCGUUCGUUUUGUAGGAUGAAGUGUUUAAUGUAGUUUUGGUAAUGGUGGUGCGGUGGUUGUAUGACUUGUAUCAGAAGAAAGGUAACGAAAUUGCGAUUUUAGUUGAUAUAUUUGGUCAGUUUUAAUGUUUUUUGUUAAGGAAGUGUUAAAAAUAAAUAGUGAUUUCAGUUUGAGAGGGAAGUCUGAUUUGGUUAGUGAUAUUAAGUAUUUUGCUUUAUUUUUGAGAGUUUGGUUAUCAUGUUUUUUGGGUUUAUAUUAGCAGAUUUGCAUUUUUUUUUUCAUGGGUUUUCUUCAUUCUUUAAUAAAGUUUAAUUGUGGAGAGUUGUAGAUUUUUCUUAUUGAGAUUUUUUAUAGGGACUAAACAGAAUUGAUGCAUACGGAGUAUGAUUUAUCAAUUUCAAUUCAUAACAAACAUAUGUGCUGAUGUUGAUGUGAAAAACUUCCAAAAUGUCUUGCUCCUACACUUUUUGGGUGAAAACUAACUGAGACACAAAAGGCAAGCAUUUAUAGAGACAUGGAGGCUCUAACAAGACUCAAUCUGUAAAAAAUUUAAGCACAUUUUACUUGAACUGCUUAUAUGUUACUGAGAUGCUACUGAACUUUUCAGCCCAAAGAGACUCACAUAUGCCUGACUGUGGAUUCAUAUACACAUUAUCAAAACCAAUUGAAGAUCAUGCAAGCUAGUCAAUCUGAUAUUCAUUAAAUUUAAUUCCAGUUUGACCAUUUCUUUAAUAAUUUACUCUGAACAACUAUUUGUUUUGCUUGUUUUGCAGCCCGACAAUUAUGCUUGCCCUCAGUGUAGAGCACCAAAGAAGAGGUUUGCAUGCUAUGAUGUCAACACAGCUAAGGCAGUAGGUGGUGCUUUACUGCCUGUCGAUAACUUCAAGUAAUAAAAGGGAAAAGAACGAGAAAGGAUAUUAAUGUUAUAAUUUAAAACGAGAAUUGAAAAUAAGAUUGAUGGCAAUGUUAUUAUAUUGGACAAAACUGAGAAUUUUUUUUUAUUUCUUUUUAGGGGUUUUAGUGUUUGGCUCAUGGAAGCCAUUAUUGAGCAAGCUUACUUAUUCUUUCUCUUACUCUACAUUCAUCUUUAACAAGAACAACCCAUACACUCUCAAUAACAAUUCAGUUUAAUGUGUUAAGCUUAA